UCUUGGUGAUUGUCAAUUUAGUCAUUCCAAUGUAUAAACUCGUACUAUAUAGUUGUCCCAAUAAGAUCUUCUUUGAUCACGAUAAGCAUAGUAAGAUUAGAAUGAGUUCGUUUGUCAACAGUUCUCGAGACUAUAGACAUGGUGUUCUCACAAUUAGAAAGAUGCGAUAACAAUCAAGCUAUGUAGCCGCACUGAUAGUGAAGUCUAGUAUCCCAAACUAGAUUACCAAGAUAUUCAAUUUCGAGGACGAAAUUUUUAUAAGGAGGGAGGGAUGUAACACCCCGCUUUUUCCUAGCUAAAUUUAGAGUAAUUUUGAACUUAGAAGUCAGGAUGAUUCACAUCGGAUAUAAAGAAAAUGAAUUUAUUUUAAUUCCAACAAAAAUGAUUUACAAAAACAUUUGUAAAUUUAGUUAUUAAAUUUAUAUGCAUUGCAUAUUUAUUUAUAUUAAGCAUUUAGCAUCUACACGAGCUAUUUAUUUAAGCAAACACUGAACGAUUAUUACAGUUUUCAUAGUACAACCCGGAAGACUUUUUAUUUUAUUCAAUCACCUACCUCUCCACAACACUAAUCUUUUUCCCUACCACCACUAAUAUUUUCUUUUCCCUACCACUAAUCUUUUUCCCUACCACCACUAAUAUUUUCUUUUCCCUACCACUAAUCUUUUUCCCUACCACCACUAAUUUGUUUUCAUACCACUACGCUUUGUAAAAAAAAAAUAGCUUUUAGUCAUGCCCUUAUAUCCUUACUUCUCUCUGCACAACCAAAGUUGGAAUUCAUAGAAGCCUUUAAGCUCCAAGAGUAGUAUCAAAGUAAGGGAGAGCGUGGGAAACCUAGGGCGUAAAGUUAGAGUGAAGAUUGUGCUUCGAGGGCUUUGUGACCAGGGGGAUUAGCGCUGCUUUCCCAAGACAGGUUUUUAUGUGUAUGAUCUUCAGGCUUUGCCUAUCCAGGUUGGCUGGCCGGUGCUGACGGGACGGAGCUGAGGCUAGAGAUAAAUUCCUAUGUUAGACUUCCGCUGUAGCAAUUACUCAUAUCAGUCUUUUGUUUUCUCAACUUAAGAUCUUCAUGUUAAAUUUCAAAUGAUAUACCUGACCGAGCUUAGACUCUUCACUACUAAAUUCAUGCUAAUAAAUGUCGGUUGUCAGAAGCAUGAAACAAAACUUGUGAUCCAAAGGGGCAUAGCCCGACUCUCUAUCUUAUUAUUCGGGUUUUAACAAGGUUGUUCCUUGUUUAUUUCUAUGAAUUAGUUGCACCUCGAUUAUAUUUAUUCAUUCAAGAAUUGGGGUGUGACAGAAUGGUAUAAGAGCAUGAGUUUUCUUUCAUGACUCUGAUAACCAUAAGCUUUUGAUGUCGAGUCUAGAAUAGUAUCUCUAGACUUCUAAGAAUGUCAAUAGCCCUCAGCUCACCGUCACACUGCCGCAACUAAGGUAUGAUAAUAGUUUCAAAAAUAUAUAUGUAUAUUCAAAGCUAUGAAAAUUUUCAAGAAAAUGUGCGCCUUAUGUUUAUGAUGUUAUGUGAAUGCAAA